UACUUGCUUAAUUACUAACUUUUUAACAGCUUGAACUCUUUUAAAAUUUAUGUAAUUAUCGAGAGUUGGAUUUUGUUUAAACCUAAGGUAAGCCGCUUUACUAUCAUUGACAGCUGUCGCACACCUGUUAUUCCACCAAGGUACUGCAAUAUGUUUGUGCCUCUUUGAAGUAUUUGCACCGCUAUUUGAUAAGUUCCUACGUGGAACGGAACGUUCCACAGCUGUCAAAAUAAUUUUACAGAAUCUAUUGUAAUUGUUUAAGGGUUCAUUGACAUCAUACUCGAAAUCCAAAAGUAAUUGAUUAACAGUUUCAGAAUAAAGAUCCCAAUUAACGAGACAUGCUGCAACGCUCAGAAUUCUUACAGAAUUUAGCUAAAUGUCCAUACCUCAAGCACCGGUAGCAUUGUUUAACUGGUGGUAUAUAUGGAGUGACAUUGUGGCGCCAACCUCCAAUAUCCAGAUAUUCAGGUAAUACAGAUGCAGCAAAAGUAAUUGUCACGGUUAGAGUUGGCUGUAACACAUAUCCAUGAGUCAAGAUUCUGAGUCAGUAGAAGUAUCUUCCGAAUAUAUAUCCUUGUCAUUACAAGGUUCAUGGUCUACAUCACCUGAAUCGUCAUCUUUUUUUUCCUUUUUCUACAACUGCGCUUCCCCAUGAAUGCUAAUUAUAUUACUGUCGCUGAAUUUAGUGAAAAUAUAAUAUUUUAUUAAAUAAUAAGAAUUGAUAGAGAUAGUUUUAAUAAAUUAAUAAAAAAAAUUUAAAAAACCCGCUUGUUCUUAUUCGAGUU